rnacentral:ncRNA from 2 species
AGUAAGCUGUCCCGAUGCAGUAUCCGAAUCUGCUGAGGGCGGCCUAAGGGGAAGCAGGUGUGAAUCCUGCACAAUACCCGUUGCUGUAUAGGUGGAAUGGUAUCCAUUAUGUCACUGUGAGAGUUCUCAUGGGAAGGCGGAAUACCGUGCAGAUGCCUUAGUCAGAAAACCCGCUUUUAAAUGGAUCUGAAU